AACUGAGGCUCCAAGAAGCAAAAUGGCUUGCCCUCAGUCACACAGAAUCAGGACAGUGGUUGAAGUGGAAUUCAGGACCUCUGACCUUAUGAGGUGCUUGGCCUCACAGGGUCACACCACCUUUCUGCUCAUGCCUUACCUGGAUUGUAGGCAUGGCCUUCCAGGGUGUUCCCUUUUGUUCUGAGUGUAAUGUGUGUGUACACACAUGUCUGGAACAUCGGAUUUCAGGGUACUCGCGUUCUGCUCUACCACUUGUUCCCAGGCCAGCUGGACACCAGCCAGCACGCGAAGCAGUCCUAAAACACACCUUCACAAAACUGGGCUGCUCUUACACUCUGGCUCUGGUCCUGCCCUCUAGGCCCAGACUCUUGUCCCCAGCUUGUCUGCCUCCAUUUCCAGUCCUUCCAUACUGCCAGAGUGACCUCCCUAAAGUGACUCUUGUCUUUUGCAUGCAAAAUAAAGUCUAAAUGCCUCA